rnacentral:rRNA from 1 species
AGCUAAUACUUGCUUUAGCACUCUUGAUUAAGUUCUUGAGUGUGUACUUGUUAAGCCUUUUAAGAAAAAAGUUAUUAACUUAAGGAAUUAUAACAAAGAAGUAACACGUAAUGGAUCCGUCCAUUUUUAGUGUGUAUCAAUCGAGUUUCUGACCUAUCAGCUUUUGAUGUUAGGGUAUUGGCCUAACAUGGCUAUGACGGGUAACGGGGAAUUAGAGUUCGAUUCCGGAGAGGGGGCCUGAGAAAUAGCUACCACAUCUAAGGAAGGCAGCAGGCGCGUAAAUUACCCAAUUCUAAAGAAGAGAGGUAGUGACAAGAAAUAACAAUACAAGGCCAAUCUGGCUUUGUAAUUGGAAUGAUGGGAAUUUAAAACCUUCCCAAAACUCAAUUGGAGGGCAAGUCUGGUGCCAGCAGCCGCGGUAAUUCCAGCUCCAAUAGCGUAUAUUAAAAUUGUUGCAGUUAAAACGCUCGUAGUUGAAUUUCAAAGAAUCGAUAUUUUAAGUAACGCUUUUAGCUUAAUCCACAUAACUGAUACUACGUAUCGACUUUGUGCGCAUUUUGCUAUUAUGUGUUCUUUUAAUUAAAAUGAUUCUUUUUAAGAUCUUUCUUUUGCUUCGGCAUUUGAAGACCUUGUUACUUUGAGUAAAUUAGGGUGUUCAAAGCAAACAGAUAUAGCAUUGCGCGUUUGAAUACUACAGCAUGGAAUAACAAAACUGAACAAGUCAGAAUUUUGUUCUUUUUUCUUAUUUUGGCUUAGUUACGAUUAAUAGGAGUAGCUUGGGGGCAUUUGUAUUCAGAUGUCAGAGGUGAAAUUCUUAGAUUUUCUGGAGACAAACAACUGCGAAAGCAUUUGCCUAAAAUACUUCCAUUAAUCAAGAACGAAAGUUAAGGGAGUGAAGACGAUCAGAUACCGUCGUAAUCUUAACCAUAAACUAUGCCGACUAGGCUUUGGAUGAAAGAUUUUAAAAUAAGA